ensembl:lncRNA
GCUCCUACUGCCUACCUUUUUCUGGGAGAAGGCGCGAACCCCUAGCAUCUCGCGCGCGGUCCAUUCAGAUCACCGCCCGAGGACUUCCGGGAAGAGAGGAAAUGCGGGACUCUGCGCGUGCGCACAGAGUGGCCGCGGUCUCCCGCGAGUCCCGCGGGCGCCGCCGCAAGGGUUCCCGCAGCCCCGAGUCCCCACCGGGGUUCGGGCGAGCUGCCGACGGCGGCCCCGGGUGUCCAGUCACGCCUCUGGCCCUUUCAGGGGGUGAUUACAAGAUAACUACUGUUCCCAGCGUUUUUGAGACUGCUCGACAUCCUUUCUGGUGUGCUGUAAAUCAUUCUCGUCUUUGUUUUCCAAAUACAUUAAAAAAAUUUUUUUUUUUAGAUAAAGAUAGUGCAGGUCGCUGUGGAAUCCUGGGCACCAGGCCCCUUCGCCAGCCACCAUUCCUGCUCCAGGUCCAGCUUCUGCAUCCAGCCCGCUCCGGCUCACAUCGACAGCCCGGCAAGUUCCACUCCUCUGCGCUGGACUUGACCUUGCCCUUCACCCUUUUGCCUCUGCUCCUGCAGGUGUCCCAGCGCUUGGAGCAUCUCCAGUGCAAGUCGGACGGAUUUCCUAAACUCACAACAGGAGCCAGGGCCCUCAUACACUGGAGUCGCCGCGAUCUUUCCCACGGACGGCCUGGCCACGUGGGAAAAGAGCCGUUCCAUGGGCCUUUCCUUCUGACUAGCAAUCACACUUUGUGGAAUGCGUGUAUAUCCUAAAGCUCUGACAUGUGCGAUCGCUGUUCAGAUGCAGGCUCUUAGGCUCCACCCCUAGUGAUUUCCUGGAUCUGGGCAGGGCUUGGAAAUCUUCAACAGGCUCCCCAAGUAGUUCUCUUACAGAUGAUCCGAGACAGCUCUUGAGAUACACUGUCCUAAGGAAAUUACUUUUAAAAGUGAUCUGUUUGUAUGAAAUAUUCUCAUAAAACUAUUUAGAAUAGCAAAAAAGUGAUAAAGCUCCAAAACCCCACUGUUGGCAAAGAGUAAGCAUUAUACUUUAACGAAGAAAUGAUAUUUUGCCAUUCAACCUAAAAGACCAUAGAACCAUAGACUGAAGACCAGACCCGAAUUACCUUGAAAUCAUCUAGUUCAGUGCCUGAGCGGCUUGCUCGUUCUCACAACAUGAAUUCCAGCUCUUUACACGGUAGAAAAAAAAUCUACAAAAGAAGAUGUUAAGUAAUAAAAGCAGAACACAAGAGUGUGUGCCACUAUUAGCAAUCAUUUUAAAAACAUUGUUUUGUUUUAUUUGUUUUAUUUUAAAAACAUUGUUUACUAACAAGAUCAGAAGAGUCGUAUAAGUCAGUAUAAGACUUUCUGUAGUAAAGGGAUUACGUGGAUUCUUGUAAUAGUGGUUUCUUGACUGUGGAAGCAGUUCAAUACAUCCCCCAGUUAAAAAACUAUCUCCGCCUAAAUCCCCUUUCCCUUAAAAUUUGCAGCAUAAACACCUUUUAUUCCAAGAGAAACCCUUUGGCUCAAGCAGCUGCUGUUGCGACAGCUCAUUGCCAGUCACAUCCCCCAGGACCAGAGAAAGGCGG